GACGAACGCUGGCGGCGUGCUUAACACAUGCAAGUCGAACGGUAAGGCCCUUCGGGGUACACGAGUGGCGAACGGGUGAGUAACACGUGGGUGAUCUGCCCUGCACUUCGGGAUAAGACUGGGAAACUGGGUCGAAUACCGGAUAGGACCCUGGGAUGCAUGUCCUGGGGGGGAAAGCUUUUGCGGUGUGGGAUGGGCCCGCGGCCUAUCAGCUUGUUGGUGGGGUGAUGGGCUACCAAGGCGACGACGGGUAGGCGGCCUGAGAGGGGGAGCGGCCACACUGGGACUGAGAUACGGCUCAGACUCCUACGGGAGGCAGCAGUGGGGAAUAUUGCACAAUGGGCGCAAGCCUGAUGCAGCGACGCCGCGUGAGGGAUGACGGCCUUCGGGUUGUAAACCUCUUUCAGCACCGACGAAGCGCAAGUGACGGUAGGUGCAGAAGAAGGACCGGCCAACUACGUGCCAGCCGCCGCAGUAA
rnacentral:rRNA from 1 species